rnacentral:rRNA from 1 species
GAUGAACGCUGGCGGCGUGCCUAAUACAUGCAAGUCGAGCGAAUGGAUUAAGAGCUUGCUCUUAUGAAGUUAGCGGCGGACGGGUGAGUAACACGUGGGUAACCUGCCCAUAAGACUGGGAUAACUCCGGGAAACCGGGGCUAAUACCGGAUAACAUUUUGAACCGCAUGGCUCGAAAUUGAAAGGCGGCUUCGGCUGUCACUUAUGGAUGGACCCGCGUCGCAUUAGCUAGUUGGUGAGGUAACGGCUCACCAAGGCAACGAUGCGUAGCCGACCUGAGAGGGUGAUCGGCCACACUGGGACUGAGCCACGGCCCAGGCUCCUACGGGAGGCAGCAGUAGGGAAUCUUACGCAAGGGACGAAAGUCUGACGGAGCAACGCCGCGUGAGUGAUGAAGGCUUUCGGGUCGUAAAACUCUGUUGUUAGGGAAGAACAAGUGCUAGUUGAAUAAGCUGGCACCUUGACGGUACCUAACCAGAAAGCCACGGCUAACUACGUGCCAGCCGCCGCCGUAA